AACGCUAGCUACAGGCUUAACACAUGCAAGUCGAGGGGCAUCAGGGUAGCAAUACCGCUGGCGACCGGCGCACGGGUGAGUAACACGUAUCCAACCUACCGUUAACUCGGGGAUAGCCUUUCGAAAGAAAGAUUAAUACCCGAUAGUAUAUUUUCUUCGCAUGUUGAAAAUAUUAAAGAAUUUCGGUUAUCGAUGGGGAUGCGUUCCAUUAGGCAGUUGGCGGGGUAACGGCCCACCAAACCUACGAUGGAUAGGGGUUCUGAGAGGAAGGUCCCCCACAUUGGAACUGAGACACGGUCCAAACUCCUACGGGAGGCAGCAGUGAGGAAUAUUGGUCAAUGGACGAAGGUCUGAACCAGCCAAGUAGCGUGAAGGAUGACUGCCCUAUGGGUUGUAAACUUCUUUUAUAUGGGAAUAAAGUUCUCCACGUGUGGAGUUUUGUAUGUACCAUUAUGAAUAAGCAUCGGCAAACUCCGUGCCAGCAGCCGCGGUAAUACGGAGGAUGCGAGCGUUAUCCGGAUUUAUUGGGUUUAAAGGGAGCGUAGGUGGACUGGUAAGUCAGUUGUGAAAGUUUGCGGCUCAACCGUAAAAUUGCAGUUGAUACUGUCAGUCUUGAGUACAGUAGAGGUGGGCGGAAUUCGUGGUGUAGCGGUGAAAUGCUUAGAUAUCACGAAGAACUCCGAUUG
rnacentral:rRNA from 1 species